CGUGGCACUUUGGUGUUAUAUAUACAGUUGUGUACUGAAGAAUUGACCAAAAGAGGGGUCUGGCCUUUGCCCUUGGCUCCUGGGAGGCAAUCUCUAGGCCCCUGAAGUGUCCAGCCCGAUGUCUUUGUUUGUCUGGGGGCUUUGGCAACUGGACAGUCCAAUAGUGUGUUUCAUAAUGGGGGCUUUGGGACACACCAUAUCAGUUCUAACCUCCAUGGGAACUAGAGGCAUAAGGUAUUGGCCUGAGCCUCCACUGAGGGCUGGAGACUGAAAGUCAACCAUGUGGACAUUAUGUGACUAAGCCCCAAGGAAAACUCUGGACACUAAAGGCUUGGGUGAGCAUCCUUUGUUCACAAUACUCUGUGUGCAUUGUCUCACACUGUGGCCAGGAGGAGGCAACACCAUCCACGACUCUAUGGGGAGAGGAAACUCAGAAGCUUUGCCUUUAGACCCCUCCUGGAUUCCGCCCUACGUGUCUCUUCUCUUUGCAGAUUUAAAUGUGUAUCCUUUUCCUAUAAUAAAAUCACAAGCAUAGCGCCUUCCAGAGUUCUCUGAAUCAUUCUAGUGAAUUAUCAAACCUGAGGGUAUUUGUGUGAAUCUCCCAAAUUAGUAGCCAGCUGAUGUGUCAUGAGGAUGGCAUGGAUACCCCCAAACUUGCAGCUAGUGUUUGAAAUGAGGGAAGCCUUGUGAGGAUUCUCCUUUCAAUCUUUGUAGUUGACUGAACUCUUAACAAUAGCAGUACAUCAAUUUAGCAAGUAUUCUGGGGAAAACAAAGAAAUACAUCAAUUCCUUUAACCAAAGCCUGCCUGGUUGUAGAGUGGAUUAAAGAGUCUAGGCUAGAGUCUAGUGGAUUAAAAGCCUGAACUUUGCAGAAAGACAGCCCCACAGAUGGAGCUGGGCCUUAGUACUUUCUGGUUGAGGUGGGCAUGUUACUUAAAUUCCCGAGCCUCAGUUCCCCAUCUGUAAAGCAUACUUACCUCGAAGGUGUGUUGAGAGAGUGACAUGAAAUCAGCUAUGUAAAGCACAGGGCAUACAGGAGCAUUCCACACAUGGUCACUGUUGUGGUUACUGUUAUCAUUAUUGCUUCUGGCUUUGUUGUUGGUGUGAUUUCCAUGUUUACCUACCUACUGAUAUAUGAAUUACUACUUUGCCUUCUUCAAAAUAGUACUUGACUGACUCAGACAGAUGGAAGUAAGAUAGCCUGAUACAAUAAACUACCAAGAAGUAGGAAAUAAGUAUUGGGUAAAUGGCAGUGGCUGCUGAGGGAGAAGUGGGGGUCCUCUCUCAGAGUCUCUGGGAGGCUGGGUCUGGCUAAGGGAAAGGUUGCAAGAUUGAGCCUCGCUAAGAUUGGGAGAGCUGCCGCUUGAGACACGAUGACAUGUCUUUAUAUCAGAAGUAGGGGUAAUCUUGUAGGGGCCAAAAUGUGAGGAGAACAGCAGCUGGCCUGGCCUGGAGGAGUUGAGAGCCAGGCUGUGCAUCUCCGGACUAACCCAUCCAUCUUUAUGUCUUCCAUAGAUUUCUGUUUGGUAAGCAGAGUGGUCAUUAAUACAGGUGUGCACUGUGCCAUAAAGAGCUAGGGGAGAGAGGAAAGGUGGCAUUUGGUUUUGGGAACCUUCCAUCUCCCUAUCCUUUCCCUUCAUUUUGUCAUUUUGGGUAUUGCCAAGUCUCUACAGAGGCUCAUUUCCAUUUUCUGCUAAUUCGUUACUUGAGAACUAAGAUAUUUACUGAUAAUGGUUCUAGACAUUGCCCUUCCAAGAUUUGUAUUUUAAUGAGAGGGAGGAGUCUCUUUAUGAGCCAAAAGAAUAAAACUGUAGUGAUAAGAUAUGGUGAUAAACUUCAUUGAUAAAAGGAAAGUGAAACUUAAAACAUUAACCUCACAAGGCUGGGUGCAGUGGCUCAUGCCUAUAAUCCCAGCACUUUGAGGGGCUGAGGCUGGAGGAUCUCUUGAGGUCAGGAGUUUGAGACCAGCCUGGGCAACAUGGUGAGACCCUGUUUCUACAAAAAAUACACAAAUUAGCCAGGUGUGGUGGUGCACGCCUGUGGUCCCCGCUGUCUUAGCUACUUGGGAAGCUGAUGUGGGAGGAUUGCUUGGGCCUGGGAGGCAGAAGUUGUAGUGAGCCGAGAUUGAGCCACUGCACUCAAGCCUGGGCGACAGAGUGAGACCUUGUUAAAAAAAAAAAAAAAAUUAACCCUACAAAACGACAAAACUCCUAUCCUCAAACCCUCCAGUCAAAUCCUAGAGAACUGCUGCUUGUGAAGUUCUUACUAAGCUCUCUGGAGUCCGCAGUUAGGAGCAGAGUCCUGAAUCAGAUGCCCGUACCUGAAUCAUGGCUCUGACACUGAUAAGCAGGUCCCUGAGCCUUUCUGUGUCUUAAUUUUUUUUAUCUGUAAGAUAAACAAUAAAAUAACAAUAGUGACUAUCUCAUAGGGUUGUUGGGAGAAAUAAAUGACUUACUAACAUAAAAUAUAUUGGCACGGUGGCUCACGCCUGUAAAAUCCUAGCACUUUGGGAGGCCGAGGCAGGCAGAUCACUUGAGGUCAGGAGUUUGAGACCAGCCUGGCCAACAUGAUGAAACCCCAUCUCUACUAAAAAUACAAAAAUUUGCCGGAUGUGGUGGCAGGCGCCUGUAAUCCCAGCUACUUAGGAGGCUGAGGCAGGAGAAUUGCUUGAACCCAGGAGAUGGAGGUUGCAGUGAGCCGAGAUCGCGCCACUGCACUCCAGCCUGGGUGACAUCUCGAAAAAAAAAAAAAGAAAAAGCCAUUAUCUUUUGGGGGUCAGUGGUGUUUUAGUAAAAAAAUCAAACAAAAACACUGUAUUAGGGCAGUUCAGUGUUUUGAUCACAUAAUACUUGGAUUGCACAAGUUGACCACUGGCAUCUUAGGGUCUCUCAGAGUUUUAACCAGUGGGCCAGGAAUCAGGCAAACAGAUAAAAACGUGGAAAACAAUGUCUUUUUGUGAUUCACCAUGUCUGAUUAGCAGUGGGAAUGUGCAUGGAACAGAUCCUGUUUGGUUAAAUAAUAAAAACCAACAGUCUCUUGCAUUUGGUAAUAAUAUAUUUGAAGUACUGGGGAUGAGCAGUUUCUGGUUUGAUGGUCUAGGUCUAGAUUUCCCCAGCCUUCUCUUUGAACUUGACCUUCAACCGCUGGAUCUUGAACCAGAAAACAGUUGAAAGGACAUAGUGGAGACAGCGUGGGAUCAAGCAUGAAGACUGAGCUAUGUGAGUCUGGAUCAAUCAGAACUUUUGUGAGCCUCAGUUUCUAUCUCUCUAAAAUGAAUACCAUAAAACUUUCUUCACAGGGCUGUUAGAAGAACUAAAUGAGAUGAUGCAUUUGGAAUGUUUUGGAAAUGAUUAAGGAUAGUGCAAAUGUCCAUUAUUGUUUUGUUUUUGAAAUGUAUUGACUCCUGUCAUUGCUCCUAGAAGGAGGCCCAGACAGGUUCAAACCCUUGCCCAGGAUGAAAUAGAGGGAGGAUGUGAUAUGCUUUAGGGCUACUGUUGGCUGAGCUUAGCAAUCACCUCUCACCCUUGUCCAGCAUGUGGGUCUGCUUGCCUUCUGAUCAGGAGCAGACGUCUGUCUUCAGUCUGAGUUUUCUGUCUGCUUGGCUGAACUGUAAGGAUCUGUGCUACGUGUUGGAUUAGGUUCCAUUCUGUGUUCCAUCACUGAUUAAUUUUGUGACUCAGUUAAGUCAUGGAGGUCCAGUGUUUUCAUGGAUUGGGCA
rnacentral:lncRNA from 1 species